rnacentral:snRNA from 1 species
GGAUGUGAGGGGGAUGUGGCUGUGACAUGUCACCCACUUGAUCACCACAGUUGAUUUGGUUGAUCUGGUUGGCUAGGCAGGUGUUUUCUUCCUCCCUUGUGGCUCCUUAUGUGUCUGUCCUGAAGCUGUGUACUUGACCCAAGAAGAUGACCACCCUGGAUAGAAGAGGGCUGUUUCCUUGGUCAAAGGAAUAGGAGUAGCUAUGCUCCCCUGCUAGAACUUCCAAACAAGCUCUCAAAUAUAGGCCUAGAUUUUUAAAAAAUCACCCACAAAAUUCUUAAUCAGUUGCCAAAUACCAUCCUUU